rnacentral:rRNA from 2 species
GACAGAGGGUGCAAACGUUGUUCGGAAUUACUGGGCGUAAAGCGAGUGUAGGCGGUUUGGAAAGUCGGAUGUGAAAGCCCCGGGCUCAACCCGGGAAGUGCACUCGAUACUCCCAAGCUAGAGUAUGGGAGAGGUUGGUGGAAUUCUCGGUGUAGAGGUGAAAUUCGUAGAUAUCGAGAGGAACACCGGUGGCGAAGGCGGCCAACUGGACCAAUACUGACGCUGAGACUCGAAAGCGUGGGGAGCAAACAGG